rnacentral:rRNA from 1 species
GGAGUCCGACGUGCGUGCGAGUCCGAGGGGAUUCCGCAAACCCCGAGAGGCGAAGUGAAAGCGCAGAGAGGUGUCGCGACCUCGCGACGCUAUCGAGGCAAGAUCCCGUGACACCUAGGUGACCGGGCGCACUGCCGGCCCGCCCAUACGAUCGUCCCUAUCCGAUCGGGCAGGAGCUAGAGCACGCACGUCGGUACCCGAAAGAUGGUGAACUAUGCUUGGGCAGGACGAAGCCAGAGGAAACUCUGGUGAAAGUCCGUAGCGAUUCUGACGUGCAAAUCGAUCGUCGGACCUGAGUAUAGGGGCGAAAGACUAAUCGAACCAUCUAGUAGCUGGUUCCCUCCGAAGUUUCCCUCAGGAUAGCCGGUGCUCGGAGAAAACAGUUUCGCCCGGUAGAGCGAACGAUUGGGGGACUCGGGGUCGAAACGACCUCGACCUCCUCUCGAACUCCCAAUGGGCGAGAAGGCCGCGGUUACCCGAAAGAACCCGGUCGUGAAUGAGAGUGCCGAGUGGGCCACUUUUG